CUGCUGCCUUCCGUAGGAGUUUGGGCCGUGUCUCAGUCCCAAUGUGGCCGGUCACCCUCUCAGGUCGGCUACUGAUCGUCGCUUUGGUGGGCCGUUACCCCGCCAACUGGCUAAUCAGACGCGGGCCCAUCCCAUACCACCGGAGUUUUUCACACCGGGCCAUGCGGCCCUGUGCGCUUAUGCGGUGUUAGCAGUCAUUUCUAACUGUUAUCCCCCUGUAUGGGGCAGGUUGCCCACGCGUUACUCACCCGUCCGCCA
rnacentral:rRNA from 1 species